CCUACGGGUGGCAGCAGUGAGGAAUAUUGGUCAAUGGACGCAAGUCUGAACCAGCAACGCCGCGUGAAGGAAGAAGGCUUUCGGGUUGUAAACUUCUUUUCUCAGGGACGAAGAAAGUGACGGUACCUGAGGAAUAAGCCACGGCUAACUACGUGCCAGCAGCCGCGGUAAUACGUAGGUGGCAAGCGUUAUCCGGAUUUAUUGGGUGUAAAGGGCGUGUAGGCGGGAGCGCAAGUCAGAUGUGAAAACUCAGGGCUCAACCCUGAGCCUGCAUUUGAAACUGUGUUUCUUGAGUGCUGGAGAGGCAAUCGGAAUUCCGGGUGUAGCGGUGAAAUGCGUAGAUAUACGGAGGAACACCAGUGGCGAAGGCGGCCUGCUGGACGACAACUGACGGUGAGGCGCGAAAGCGUGGGGAGCAAACAGGAUUAGAUACCCUUGUAGUC
rnacentral:rRNA from 1 species